rnacentral:tRNA from 1 species
CGCGGGGUGGAGCAGUCUGGUAGCUCGUCAGGUUCAUGCCCUGAAGGUCGUGAGUUCGAAUCUCACCCUCGCAA